CCCACAUCAGAAUCCUCUGGGGUCCUUGUUAAAAAUGUUAAGUUAGGAUUUUGCCCCAGACUCAUCAAAUGACUUUCUAAUUGUAAAGAAUAGGCAUUUUAAAUAUUAUUUCCUGUAAUUUCAGGCAUCCUAACAUGUGAUUUCUCAGAUAACUGUAUUUUGAAAAAGUUCCCACCACUGGUUAAGAACAAGUGCCCAGGCAUGAGCCACUGCGCCCAGCCUUUUUACUGCAGUUUUUAUACCAAGAAAUUUUAAAAAUGUAUAUAUAUCUAAAUAUUUGUACUUAUUCAGAACUUUCUGAUUUACUUAAAUUUCUAAGCCUCAAAGAAGUAAAUAUAAUGUAUUUACUACUAAUGGAAAAAAGGUGUAGAAAGUAUGCAUAAUAUCCUAUCACUUCUGUAUGUUUUUAAAGCAUAAGCCCACAUAUACAUGUGCUUAUAUAUGAUUAGAAUACUUUUUUUUUUUUUGGAGACGGAGUUUUGCUCUUGUUGCCCAGGCUGGAGUGCAAUGGCGCAAUCUCAGCUCACUGCAACCUCCGCCUUCUGGGUUCAAGAGAUUCUCCUGCCUCAACCUCCCGAGUAGCUGGGAUUACAGGCAUGCGUCACCAUACCUGGCUAAUUUUUUAUUUUUAGUACAGAUGG
rnacentral:lncRNA from 1 species